UUCUUCCCUCUCUCUCUCUCUUUCUCCCUCUCUCGCUUCAGUAUCUUACUAGCUGUAGCUCUCGCUCACUGCUAGUGCUAUUAUAAUUUCUGAACUCGUUGUUCGUUUUUGAUAUCUGCGCUGCUUCUUCUUCUUUUUUUUUUUUUUUUUUUUUUCUAUGGAGAACAAAGCAAGGAACUAGUUUUAAUAAACGUUGUGGGGCUUUUGUAGUCAUAGGACCCUUAGCUGGCACAUCUAUCGCGCAGGAUCAACUGAGAAGAAGUUAUUUCUGUCUAACAGUGAUCUUAAAUGAGUUUAGGUAUACGCUUCUCGAGUUAUGGGUCUUAAGCAGUAACAGUACCCUUAGCUGGCACAUUGAUGGCGGAUGACACAUGUAUCAACCGAUAAGAGGUUGCUUCAGUUUAACUAAUGGUGUUAAUUUUGAAAGCUGGGUUCGAGAUUACCUAGUGGAAUAUGUGUCCUUAGUUGGCUUGUAGAAGCCAUAUGGAGCAACAGUCGUUGUUUAUGUUUUGUUGCUUUGUUUGAUCUGCCAGAUCCUUAUCCCCUUGGCUGUUUAACCAUUGGUUGAAAACAUGAAUACACCUCGCAGAAUAGUCUUUAUAAGUUAGCAGCAAAUAUGUGUUUGCAAGAAUGAGAUUGGGACAUGACGCACAGCUUUUUUUCGAAGGGGCACGAGAAAAAGGAAAGGGAAACCCUAACACUUCUCUCUCUCUUUCUCUGGAUUGGUGUUUAUGCAUGACUGUGCUGAAUCUCGCUGCUCGCUGUUAAUGUAUGCGACUUUCUUUGUGUGCUUUCACUGUUAGACUGUGAUCCAUCCUUCUUUCGUCAUAUGAGGAAAAAAAAAGUUUGGUUGUUUGGUCAUUCCGGGAUAGUAAUGCUGUUUGAACCUUUCACCUUUUCAGUUUCUUCUUUAUACGGGUCUUUGAAGUAAUUGCUAGCUCCUAUGGACUUGUGUGGUUUGUUUUUUUUGGCCUUGGAGUUGUUCUCCCCGCACGCUUUUUUUUCCUUCUAAUUUUUUAAAUUCUAUUUUUUUUAUGCUUUUCCUCCUCUUGAAUGUCAAGUUUGACAACAGUCUUCUGCAUUUGGCUCUCGAAUUUUGACAUUGAAGAUGUUGUCAAUGACAUCUUAAAUAGUGGCCUCGAUUGAAGACACUGAGCAAACCAUAGAUAAUGCUUUUCAAACACCAUAAGUUGUUUUUCGUACUACACCUUCCAGCUCACCCAUUUGUAUUGGUUUAUUAGCGCAUGCCUACAGCCUACUUUGAACUAGUUGUGUUGAAAAACUUUAGCGCAAAAUUCAUUCCAGUAAUGCUAUGCCUUCUUGUGGAUGCUAAACGGGUUAUGAACUGUGACUGAUAGCCCGCAGUCGAUUAACAACGCCCGACUUAUGUAUUGGUUAGCUAAUUGUUAGAGAACAAUUCUUCUGUAAUAAUAGGUUUGUUUUAUUUUACUUAAGUCAGUCAAAAAACAAAUGCAGGCAGCGAGAAUUUUGAAGCCGUAGUUAUACUUGCUUUGCCUGCUAAAUUUUAUUUCUAUUUUUUUUUUGUAAUAUAUCAUAUUCAAAUUCUUAUCUAAUUAUAAUGUGGCUAACUUGUGACUUAAAUUAGAGGCUGAGAAGGUAGAUGCCUAGGCCUAAAUUAUAUUAUAUCUCUGGAAGAAUGUAGCUGAAAUGGUAUCUAAGAUUUGUAGUAGUAUAAACUAGAAGAUUAUAGUAUAUAGCGUGUGAUUCAUGUAUGUUUAAAUUAUUUUAUCGCUGUGGAAGGUUGUAGCAGAAGUGCUGUCUAAAAUUUAUGGCAGUGGACGGUAGAAAAUGUUAUUUAUCUAACAUGUCAUUGAUCAAUCUGAACAACGCGUUUCCCAUAUACUAGUAAUAACUUGUAAGCUUCACUAGUUGUGAUGAACUACCUUCUUUGUUCCAGCACACAUGAAGCUUACACGUUGAAGACUUAUUAUGAGAAUAACGUUAUUUAAAUAUUAUACCUUCUAGGAGUAAUGCACUAGUACCCAUUUUGGAUUAGAUGGACAUGAUCUGACAGUAAUGGCAUGCAAUGAUUCUGCUUUCAUACUUUACUAAUUUAUGUAUCAAGUUCCAAUAGAGCACAGGUGAUGCAUGUUGUUGGGAGAUAAAAAAAUGCUCAUUGGGAAUUGUCUACGGGGCUGAUAGUCUGUCUGGAGCUAAAGUACUCUGAUUUUUCUAAAAUAAAUGGAGUUAAGUUGCUUUGGGUUAUCCUGUUGUUAGUAAAAUUAGAAAGAGGAAUGAGCUCAGCAUUAAUUAAGUUAGAUUAUCCUCGUGUGUGCUUUCGUUCCAGAAAAUUAAAUUUGCGAGUUUACUGUGAGAUCGUCCCAGACGACUUGAACAUCUAGUGUGAUUUCUAGAUGAUCCCUUCAAAUAAAAGUUUACUCAAUUAUGCUUCUAAAUGGGUUUGAACUUUGUGAUAUACUGCACUCUGAUUUGUGUUUUUUGGGCAAAAGCUUGAUGGAUGGAUGUGUUGCUCAUAGUA